UUUUUACUGCCUCUUUCUCAAUAAAUGCAAAGAGGGGUUGGACAUACACUUGGUACGCUCCAAACAUGUGAACUAGGAUUGUUGCAUUAGCAAUGUCUAUAAGCCAAUAUGCGUUAGAGUAGCCAAAUCCAGUGAGGAGAUUCCCAGGUGCUGCGUCUCCAAAAGCAGCAUAGCCAAAGCACCCACAAAGCAUGUAAAAUACUGUGAUAACACUAAUGCUUAACUUUGUGGCCUUCUUCAUUGUUUUCACUUCAGAUGGUGGGUUUUUUAUGGUGUCCUGUGUAGUCAGAAUUUAUUAUAUGUUAAUUAUUUUCAAUGAUAAAAUUGUCUUACUUUUAAGAGAAGAAAAAUAAAAGGUACCUGAAUUUCAAUGAGAAUUUGAGAGAACGAAUAGGCGAAGGCUAUGCAACCAAAAGAUUGGAAAAUCCCCCACACUUUUUCAAUUUUUGUCACAGUUCUAAUGGUAACUCCUGUGAGACUACCCUUGAUGGUACCAUUCUCUGUUCAAGAACCAAUUAAGACAAGAAUAUCAGCAAUGAAAAAUAACGAAGAAGUUUUUUUAUUAUCAUACACAAUUUAAAAUAGGGAUGUGACCUGAAAUUUUAGCAAUUCCCAGGAAGAGACCAAUAAAGGAAUAAGUGAAAGACAUGAUUGCUGCAACAAUUGAGAGCCACCAUGUUUGAGGAAAAUCUGGAAUUUGAGAUAAGAAAAUUUGGCUUACUCCAAAACCGAUCAUGUAUGGGUUGCUAUCUAUGGGACAUGGGUUUUUUCCGCCUGAAGAAUGGAGACAGUUAGUCCUUGUUAUUGCCCUGUCAUGCAAAAACCGGUUAUAUCAAUAAUGUAUAGUAGUUAUCAAACACUUAUUUCUAAAUAAAAUCAGUUUCUAAAUUUUAAUAUCUCAAAAAUAUCAGAAGGAACCAUUAACUCACAUCAUACUAAUGGCACCUGCGAUUGUGUAUCCUAUUGCAGCGCCGUAAAGACUCGAGUACUGGACUAUCCCACAAAUCUUAGCACUGGUAGUACCUGCAAAAUACAUUCUUUACAAUCAAUCAAUCUGAACCAUUUAAUAUAAGAAUCCAUGUUGGUGCUACUCGAUCAUCGUAUAUUAAUGUGUGUGUAUAUGUAUAGUUACCAAGAAUGUUCUGAACUGCAUCCAUGAAAGAAUAGUUUCUUUUUCCGGAAAUGGGGUCUCCUAAACGAUAACAUUCAGCUAGAAGCAAUGAAGUGUACCAAGUAAUGCUGCUGAAGAUGAUCAGCGCUACAGGACCAGCAACCCAACCCAUUUGAGCUAUUGCCCAUGCUAAAGACAGCACCCCAGAUCCUACAACAGCGGUUACUAUGUGGGAGCUUGUAGUCCAAACGGUUCCUGCCAGAAAUUAACACAUCAACUAUGAACAUCGAUCUCCAUGGAAGUGAUUCUUUCAUGUUUGGAAAAUAACAUUAAAAUCAAGUAAACUAGAAGCUUAUCCCGGUAGCUUUGAAACAUGCACUUAGUGUGUGUUUGAGAAUGUGCUAGGCAACCACGUAAUUGAUUUUGGGAAGAAUUGAUUUUCACAUGUUUGGAUAUUUUCUAUGAUAAUCAAUUAUGGGUUCAAAAUUAAUUAUAGAUAACACACCUAGUGGUAACGUAUGAGGUGAGUAAAAUUAAUUCUCAAAAAGUAAAAUCAGUUUCGAAUGUUUCUUAACUCAAAUGGCCUUCAAUUGGUGUAAGCAUCUGUAUAUUGAUUAUGAAAUACAUUUUCAUUUUGAUCAUUACACACCUAAAAUCAAUUCUAAUCAAAGUUAUUCAAACGAAAUUCUCUUAAAGUAAUCACUUUUAUGAUAAAUGUAUCCAAACAUAAAUCACUUUUAAUAAUCAGUUAUGCCACAAUCAAUUCUAUCAUAAUUCUACAGGUUUGUAUUAACUUCUCUAUCGUCAUUAUUAAUUAUGAGACUUAUAAUGAAUUCCAAAUUGAUUUUAAAUUUAGAACCAAAUAUCCAAACAUGCAAUUACAUGAUUUGGCCAUUUAUGAAUUGGUGAUGACAAAAAUUGGCACAAACUUAUUUUAUGUGACAGAAACGUGUGGAGGUUUAAUAUGAGAGAGAGAUCUAUUCUCCUAAGAGACAAAAUUAUUAAUGUAAAAUUUGUACAACAUGAAUUAAUUUGUACCUGUUCGUUUAGGACGGCCAUCAUCAUCAUAGAAUUUGGAGUCGGGCAGUGAAGAGAAACCAUCUAUGGAGUCCUUCACCAUCUCAAAUGCGUUUAAGGUUGGUUCUGAAAGAGUUUUCAAUCAUCAAUUGAACAGGAGACAGGAAAUGUAGUAUAAUCGAGAAUACUUAUAGGGAUGAGUCCCUGUAAUAGAAUUAUCACACAUCAACAAAAUAGUCACCUAAGCUUAGGUGGACACAAAUUUAACACCUAAGUUUGUGUUUUGUAUGGUUGUUUGGUCCAAUGUCAAAGUACUUUCAACUCAGACCAACAUUGAGGCUAUAUUCACUUUUGUUCCUAGAAAACAAUGAGGCUAUAUUCACUUUUGUUCCUAGAAAAUCGGGUGCCGAGGUAGAUUCAGGUUAAAAUGGAAUGAAAGUAAAAACAAAUAAGCACUAAAAUUGAGCAGAAUCAAUGAAAAACCACGUAACUCAUUAACUAAAAAUGAUCAAUUAAACAAAUAAUGUAGGGUAGUAAGAGGGUCACGUCUCCUCUCGUCUCUUUUUACUAAUUAAUUAAUCAAUUAAUUUUCAUAUGUUAAAUGACAAUCAACAUAGUAGUACUUUAAAUAUUAAUUAUUUUCAUUGAUGGCAUAAUUAACAUAAGGAAUCUAUAUACUUUAGAAAAGAGGAAGGUUGUGAGCCCCACCUCCAUGAUUUGGCACUCCAAUAAUGGCUCUCACCCACCUCCCCUCUUUACUUGACAAGUGUCACCGUCUUAUUGUUUUGGACUAAUAUAGUAUAAGCCCAUUUUGAUUUCAGUUUUUUUAUGGAGGCCCAUUAUUCAAAGUCAUUCAAGUUUUUGAAACUGAAUUUUCAUUAUGUUUUUAAAACGGAUAUUUUUUUGUAUAAACCAUUUAUUAGGAGCAAAAAAUUCCAUUAUAGGUUUUUAAAACAUUCCUUAUUUAAAAUCUCCAACAAUUUUGUGGUUAUGGAUUUUUAAAAGAAAUGGAGGAAUUAAUUCAAUUAGCUCUAUUUUUAACAAUUUUUUCGUUUUUUUUAAUUUGAAAUAAAUCAAGCAAAGAUCAAAAUUUGAAAAAAAAUGUAUUAAUUCAGAUUUUUUUAUAAAAUAUAAAAACCACGAAAAUUGGUGUUUAAUUAAGGAAAAAAAGUCAGGCCAUUCAUUAAAAAGGUUUAACUCAAAUUGCAAAAAAAUAGUGUUAAUUUUGCUUAAAAAAAGUCAAGAAUUAAAAUGGUGUUAAUUUUGUUGAGGAAGUCACGGUUGAAUUUCAUUCAAGCAUUAACACCAUGUUAAUGUUGUUUGCAAAACAAGUCAAACCUAAUGAACUUAGUGUUAUUUACCAUCAAAGUUGCACGACGAUUUUAACAUAUUAAUUAAUUUCCUAUUUAACUGUAUUAAGACCAUGUUAAUUGUAUAUCCUAUUUUCCUAUAAUAGGAAAUUAUGAUGAGUAAUUCACGUGCAGCCUUCAAAUUUGGUCCAUAUUAAUUAAUUUUUAUACAGAACAUUGAGCUGAAAUCUCACAUAUGCAGAAUUUGAUUCCAAGUUCGUGUAAAACAAAAAAUCAACAAUAUGGGUUCCUAGGAAAAGAGGCCUUUCUCUUGGUCGAUUGCAAUUUAUUGCUCCUGGAAUGGGAGAAAAUUACUACAUGCGAGUUUUAUUAACUAGGCAAAAAGAUUGUGACAGUUUUAAAAGCAUAAGAACUGUUAAGGGUGUUGUUUAUCCCACAUUCUGCGAUGCAUGCGAAGCGAUGGGAUUAAUGGAGGAUGACCGGGAGUAUGUUGAUGGAAUUUCAAUUGCAAGUGAACUUGGUUCCGGAUCUCAGCUAAGGAAAUUAUUUACUAGAAUGCUGAUGACAAACUUGAUUUCCAGGCCACAAGAAGUUUGGAGAAAGUCUUGGACUCUUUUAAGUGAUGGGAUUUUAUAUGACAGAAGAAAAGCACUCAACAUUCCAGGUAUUUCAUCAAAUUAAUUUUUUGGACACAAUUAGUAAUAUUUACUUUUUUCUCCCUUAUGAAUUAGUAUGCGUUUAUUUUUUCACAUGUAUAAUUGUCCAUGGCUAUUACUAUUUAUUUCCAUAUGUUAAUUGAACCCAACAGUAUUUACCGUAUUUUAGAAAGUACGCCACAACCUAAGAGAUUGGACAACUACCAUAUCAUAAUUAUAUACCAUAUCUAUUUUCUAAUUUUUAUAGAGAUAUUUUGUUCUUAUACUCAAAUUAACCUAUAAUUAGUUUUCCCAAUAGAAAAAAACAAAGAUUCACCUACAAAUCUCACUGUUAUUUGUUGCAGGUUAAAAAAAAAUCAGAAAAAAUCUAUAUCAGAGCUUCUAUUGUCUAAAUAAAUGUGUCAAGUUUUUUUUUUAAAGUUUUAUACCUGAGUAUCACGUUAAAAAUAAUACAAUUUUUUUAAAAAAUAUUCCAAAUUUGACAUUAUCAAAAUAUGACGAGUCUUAUUAGAAGGAAAAAUUUAAGUUGUGUAAAUGCAUUUUCUUUCUCAAAAAGAAAAAAUUAAAACUCAAUAUUUCUCAUUUAAUUUAAUUUUCUUAUUUAAUUUAUUUUCCUUAUUUCAUUUAAUUUCCUUCAGAUCUUCGUAUAGAGGAUGAAGAAUUACAUAACUUAUGUAUGAUUGAGAUUGAAAAAAUAUUGCAAGGCAAUGAAAGGUCACUCAAGGAAUUUCCAUGUUUACCAUACCCUAAAUUUUCAGAAAUUCAUAAUUUUGAAGAUAGAUUCGUUGCAGAUGAGUUGAAAUAUAAUAGGGCUGAAAUGGUAAAGAUUCAUGAUGAAUUGGUCAGUUCUCUUACUUCAGAGCAAGAGAUUUUUAUAAGAAUGUUUUGGAUGAUGUUUUGUCUGAUAACAGUUGAUUCUUUUUUCUAUAUGGUUUUGGAGGAACUGGAAAAACAUUUGUUUGGAAUAUAUUAUAUGCUGCUUUGCGUUCAAGGGGCCUUAUCGUCUUAAAUGUCGCAUCUCGCGGAAUUGCAUCUCUAUUGUUACCUGGAGAUAGAACUGUUCAUUCAAGGUUUUCUAUUCCUAUUUCAAUAAAUGAGAUAUCAACCUGUAAUCUUCGUCAAGGUUCCCCAAAAGCUCAAUUAUUGAAAAAAGCAAGCCUAAUUAUUUGGGAUGAGACACCUAUGUUAAACAAACAUUGCUUUGAAGCUUUAGACAGAUCUCUAAAUGACAUUAUGAAGACUCAGUCUACCCAUGGUUAUGACAUUCCAUUCGGAGGUAAAGUUGUGGUACUGGGAGACGACUUUAGACAAAUACUUCCAGUUAUUUCUAAAGGAAGCCGUUCUGAAAUUGUCGGUUCAGCUAUCAAUUCUUCAUAUCUGUGGAAGCAUUGCAAGGUAAUGAAGUUGACUGUUAAUAUGAGAUUGCAAAAUGCUACAUCAACUUCUACAGCAGCAGAAAUAAAAAAGUUUGCAGAUUGGUUGCUUCAAGUGGGAGAUGGUACAGUUAAAACGAUUGAUGAGGAAGAAACACUUAUUGAGAUUCCUCCAGAUCUUCUUAUUGAACAGUGUAAGGAACCGUUGUUUGAAUUAGUUAAUUUUGCAUAUCCAAAACUUGCACAUAAUUUGCAAAAAAGUUCAUUCUUUCAAGAAAGAGCGAUCCUUGCACCAACACUUGAAAGUUUAGAGGAAAUCAACAACUUUACGUUAGCAAUGAUUUCUGGUGAUGAAACAUAAUAUUUGAGCUGUGAUACUCCGUGCAAGUCAGGCAAAGAUUCAGGUGACAAUGCGGAAUGAUUUACAUCUGAAUUCUUAAAUGAUUUCAAAUGCUCUGAAAUACCAAACCAUGCAAUUAAAUUGAAAGUUGGUGUCCCUAUCAUGCUCAUUCGAAACAUAGACCAAGCUGUAGGGUUGUGUAAUAGCACUCGAAUGAUAGUCAACGCAUUGACUAAAUAUAUAAUUGUUGCUACUGUUUUAAAUGGAAACAAGAUGGGUGAAACAACAUUUAUUCCAAGGAUGGGCUUUACUCCAUCUAAUUCUGACAUUCCAUUCAAAUUUCAGCGCAGACAAUUCUCUGUUACUUUAUGUUUUGUGAUGACUAUAAAUAAAAGUCAGGGACAAUCUUUAUCUCAUGUUAGACUGUAUUUGCCAAGGCAUGUCUUUACUCACGGGCAGCUAUAUGUUGCACUUUCUAGAGUUAAAUCUAGAAAAAUGUUGAAGAUGCUCAUCAUUGAUGACGAAGGAGUUGUAUCUAACACUACACGCAACGUAGUGUAUUAAGAAGUCUUCGAUAAUAUUUGACAUGUAAGUGCUGAUUUAUCUUACAAUUAAUUUGAAUUUAAAUUUUAGAAAUAGGAAAACUGAUAUGAUUAUUCUCUUUAUUGUUGGUAGCAUAAAAAUAUAACAAGCAACUUGAAAUUAUACACUGUUUAUAUUUGUAUUGGUUACUGAUUUUUACACUUAUAAUUUGUUUUUUUCCUUUCUAGGUUCUAUAGCUCAAAUAUGCUUAUUGACAACAAGCUCGAUUAUGAAGUUUAUAUCAUUAAUCAUGGACUACAAUUUUGAAUAAGGGUUCAUGUUGCUGUCAUUGUUAUGUUUAUCUUAUUUUAAUUUCAAUGUAAUGUAUUACUUAAAAAGUUGUUUUUUAUUACUAUUCAAGUGUUGACAUAGUUAGGUAUCUACAACCUCAUCAAAUUAAUCUAUUUACUGUGCUAUAUUCAUCUACAUGUUUGUAACAUAUGUUCGGUUUCAUAUCUUUUAUACUUAUUGAAAAGAGUCUAAACUAAGUUAAAACACAUUACUACUGAUUCAUCUUUACAAUAAAUUUAAUCGCCGUGCAACGCACGGGUAAAAAACACUAGUACUAAUGAAAUUAUUUACGUUGGAAAGUCAAUCAUCAUAUUACCCAAUAACUCUCAUUUAUGCCAAUGAUUUCCGUUGAAUUCUUGUUAAAGUGUCUUGUAUUAUUUCCUUUAAUUGGCUAAUACUUCCUCUGAUCCUAUUUAUAAGCAUGAAAGAGAAGAAAAAUCUUGGUCCUUUUUAUAAGAACCAAAUGAAAGUUUGAGCUAUAUUAAUUAAUUUUUUCCAAUGAUGCCCUUAUUAAUUCUAACUUGUAAAAUGUGUCUCAUUAAUUAUUCUCUCUCUUUUCCACUUUCCAACACUAAUAACAAAGGGUAAUUUUGGAAGUUCAUUUUAAUUUAAGACAAAUUUAAUGCAUUUUAUCUAGUUUAACUACAUUUCUUAAACUAUAUGAAUUUUUUUUUGUUGCUUAUAAAUAGGACCGGACGGAGUACCAUUUAAUGGCAUAAAUGGUAGUAUUCAUCUAUUCCUUCUACUCCCUCCAUUCCAAUUUGUUUGUUGUUUUAGCAUUUGCACACAGUUUAAGAGCUAAUCAUUAGAUUAAUAUUUUCACCAACAUACCCCUAUUUAUUUUCAUUCAUGUCAAUCAUUCCUUCCUCAUUUUCCACACUACUAAUUUCACAUCUUUACUAAUACAAUGUUAAUUUUUUGACAGAACCAAUACAUUGCUAAGUGUGGGAGAAUUGAUUUGUUUAUGUUCUCUGAAUAAUCACAUCAAGUAUAGCCUUUUCAAUUUCCUGUGCAUUCUUUUAUUCUAUUUUUUAAAACUCUCAGUUUUUCCACUGAGAAUUCGUACUCUCCCCUAAAUAUGUCAAAAUUUACAAACUUCCAAUUUUAUCAACUAUACAUGCUUCCCUCGCACCAAAAAACUAUUUAUGCUUCCCAUCAAAAUUUUACCUAAAUUUGAACCACUAAUCAUCUUUCCACAGUACUUAAAUUUUCCCUCUUAAUCUAAGUUUUAGAUUUCCUCCUUUGAAUGUUUUUGUUUCCCCCUUAUAUUUGCUUAUAAAUGUUUUGUUUCAUGCUAAUAUUGCUUGUAGUAAGAAAAAUGGCAGCAACAAAAGUUUAUCUUUUCCAUUGAAAAUAAAAGAGUGUGUAAAUUCAAAAUUUGAGUUACUACUAUAAGAGAGAAACUUGACCAGAAUAAUGGUUUACAUUUUUGUAAAUAGGGAUAGUAAUCAAUAGAGAUAGUGGGGAUAGUUAGUUUAAGUGGUAGGUUGGUUUAUUAAGAAACUUUGAAUUAAUUAUUCAACAAGGGUAUAGAGGGAAGAAAAUGGGAAAAAAUGCAUUGAAUAUAUAAAACAACAACCAUUUUGGAAUUUCUAGCAAAAGCUAAAACAACAAACAAAUUGGAACAGAGGGAGUAUUAUAUAAAAGAAUGGUACGAAGAUGGAAAGAGAGAAAAACAUAGGUCUCAACUUUCUUCCCCUUUUUUUAUAUACUUUCUUCUUGGCAGUAUUUUAUGAAGGCUUCAUACGGUUUGUCUCGAAUUAACGGGUUAGAUCGUAGUUGUGUAAGCCAUUGGGAGCAAAACCUUAAGUUAGCUGCAUAAUUCCACUGCUGAUCCAGUUUUGGUAGCAAUUAGUAUUCGCUGAAUAAAUUUAGUUAGACAUAUUGGGUUUGGACGUCAUCUGUUGUGUUUGAAAAAAUACAAACUAUGUUUUAAAAUGAUGUAAGUUUGAGAUCAUGAUUUAUUUUCAUUCUAUACCAGAUUUAAUCAAAAUUUAGUCUUCGUGUGGCAUAGUUCACAUGUUGUGUUGUUUCUUGAAAAAAAAAAAAUCUCUUUGCUCUUCCAUGUUGCUUCCCCUUGAAUUUCGCCUCCUAUAUCUCUUUGUUCUGUUAUUGUGUUUCUUAUCUUCCCCUUUAAUGUGAAAGAUUGUUUGCAGAUAAAAUACCUUGGUGAGGAUGGUGAGAAUGUUCCUGUGGCCGCUGUAGCUGUUUUCUCUCCUUGGGACCUUUUGGUUAGUUAGUAUUUUGAUUUUAAAAACAAAACUUCUACAGGACAAAUGGCAUUGAUUAAUGUGCAUAUGUUAUGAAGUAUCACCCCAAUAUAUCUUUCAUCCGAAUUUGUCUGUGUAUCCAAUCGAAUAUGUGUGUGUGUGUGCAUAGAGAUUAAAUCUUUAAAUAAUAUAGUCCUCUAUAUGACAUUGUUUCUUUGUCUUUGCUAUUGUUUCUUGCCCCCUUCUUUAUUUUGGUUGAUGUUUUCUCUUUAGUUUCCUAGUUUUCUUGUCUAUUUUUCUUUAAAAAAAAAUGAAUGUUACCAAGAGAGCACCAUGGCAUAAUUGAGUAUUUGAGUUACCAACUCAUGCUGAUUUUGAUUUCCUUUUUGCUUAUUCUUCAAGGUGGGCAAAGCACAUUAGAAAGCUGUCAAGUAUUACAGGUAAGGUUUCUUAAUUUCCAUCCAUUGCUCUGUUUUCAUUAGUAGAAACAACUCUGUUGUGGACAUCAAGGGGCUUGUGUAAUACUCCCUCCGUUCCUAAAUAUAAGACAUAUUCCAAAAAAUUGCGCUUAUUAAGGAAGCACUUAAUGUGACUAAUUAUUGUAUUGAUUUUUAAAAAAAGCAUAAAUUCUUCCUUAUUUAACCUUUGUUAUGCACUCACCAUUGAUAUCUCAAAAGUCAUAUUUAGUUGGAUUAGUAGUAAUUAAUGGUAGGUGGUAACUUUGGAAUUGAAAACAUAUAAUUAAUGUGGAGGGUAAAAAUGGAAGAGUACAAAACCUUUUGUUAGAUUAUUGUAACUAGGUCUUAUAUUUAGGAACUUCAAAAUUUUGAAACUAGGUCUUAUAUAUAGGAACAGAGGAAGUACAUUUUAUUGUAUAAUGUGCUUUACUAAGUCCAUGCAGAGAAGCUUAAGUUAUAGUAAUUUUCAUUUCUACUUUGAUUGAAUAUUAUCAAUGUUACAUAUUUUUAACCUAUUACAUAAUUCUUUUCAAUUCAUGUAGGUUCUGCAUCAUAAACAAUUAAAUUCCACAAGGCAUAAUUAUAUUGAACUUAAAUGGCAUGUUCGUUUUGGAAUAUAAUAUUCAUACUUCAAAGUUAGGACUUAUUACUAUGUACUGAAGCUAUGAAAUUAGUCAGUUAACUGCUUAAAAUAGAGAGGGAAAUUAGCGACGGAGUUUGUCCCUCUCUACCAUUGAUAAAUUAGAGAGGGAAUGAAUAUUAAAAUGAUAGCUAGUUAGCGACGGAAGUAUCCGUCGCAAACAGCGACAGACUGCUACGUUCUGUCUUCAAUAGCGAUGGAACGUUCCGUCGCAAAUAGCGACGGCUAGUUAUUUUCCGUCGUAAAUAGCGACGGAAACUUCCAUCGAAAAUAGCGACGGAUUCAUGGGGUAAUCCUGUAACCGAUUUAGCGACGAAAAUAUAUACGUUAGCGACGACCAGUUUCCGUCGCUAUUAGCGACGGAUUUAAUUUUCCGUCGUUAAUUUUUUAGCGACGCCACUUAUCACGACGGAUGACGUUCCCUCGCUAAAUAGCUUUUUUUUAGUGUCCAUGAGUCUAAUUCUUUAGUUGAUUAUUAAGUCAUGUUAUUUUUAUUUAAUGAGUUGGUGGCUUUUCAAUAAUGCGACUAACUCUCUAAGGUUCUAAAGAAGUAGUUAAAAAAAAUCACUUUAAGUGAGUAGAUAACUCAUAACAUCUUUUUUUAAUACGCCACGAAUAUGGAUGUUUUUGUUUAUGUAUACAAUAAUGGAUAUGUUUGGCUAACUUAAUCCUUAUAUCACUAGAUUAAAAACUCUUUAAAAGUGUUAGAUAAAUAAACUUAUUUCAGUAGCUUAAGAUUUUUUUAAUAAGCUGCAUGAGGUAUUUUAUAGCUUAAAGGUUAUUGAAUUUAUUCUCAUUUUUAUCCUUAAUAUUUUUUAAUGUUUGUGUUGAAAUAAUUACUUUUUAAUACAAAAUUUUAAAAAAUAUUUUGUCAAUUUAGACAAAUAUAUGAUUGUUUAAAUUAAAAUAUAAAUUUAUUUGUUUUAUUCUACUUAGUUUAAUAAAAAAAUAAAAAAUUGAUAUUAUACUUUUUAAUGAUAAAUAAUUUGAAAUAAAUUAAAAUGGUAUCAUAGAAGCAUUGAUGUGUAAAAUAAAAUAAUGUUAAACAUAAAAAUAACUAUGCUCUUUUAUUUUACAAUUUCAUCUUGUUUAACAACUUAUUUAACAGAUAGUUUUUCAGCUUUCAGUUAGCUUGUUAGUUAACGUCAUCGUUGUAAGUUGCUUGGUAUUAUAGAAAAGGAGAGAUUAAAAAUGAAAUGAACAUGGGAGAGAAAAAUAUUUUUUCUACUAAAAAGUUUCUAGUUACCAUAAACUCCACUUUCCGAGAGGUUAAGACUUCUAAUAUACACCAUUUGGUCACAUAUAUAAGCAAAAACGACAUCUUAGGUUCAUUCAUUUAAUAAAUGUAUAUAACCAUUAAUAAUGACUAGAUACAUUCAUUAAAUGAAUAGACCUAAAAUAUUUUUUUUGCUUAUAUAUGUGACCGGAUGAUGUAGCUAUUUAAAAAAAAAGAGAAUUCUAAUAUAUUAUAGGAGCCCAUAUAUUAUGUAAUUAGUUUGUCCCCUUCAUAUAUGCAUAUUAUAUAAAUAUUCCAGAGUCAGUUAGAUUCAGCUGAAUCUGAAGAUGAAUAUGAAAUCUAAUGGAACUCUGAAAACCAAAUAUUAUGAUCAAUGAACAUUCAUACUAACACCACAAACACAUAGAGAGUAGAAAUUCACAAAGUUUUCAAAAUAGAAGAGAAGAGUAGCAAGGAACGGUACCUGUGUGUGUGUGUGAAAUCCAAAACCAGGUUGCUCUGUUCUGUUCAGUUCCAGUGAGUCCCUUACAACCGAUUGCACUUUACUCCUUCUCCUUCUUAUACCAGCUCACAAGUCUUCGGUCCAUUUUGGAUCCGAUCUAUAGACACAAGAUUUUUAACGGAGAGAAGAUAAUUUUGUUAAGGGUGUGUUUGGUUCAAACAAGGAAAUAAGAGAUUUUAAUGGACAGAAUGAAAAGAGAAUGGAGGGAUGUGAUUUUGAAUCAUGUCAUGUUUGGUUAAAAGAAUAACAGGGGAGAUGAUAGAUUUUAAAACAUAUUUAUAUUUAAUUUAUUGUCUUGCGUUUUUUGAGAAAUUGAAGAUAAGGAAUCACAUUUUUGUCCAAUAAACUAUUUCACUUUCAUUUCCCUCCCAUUUGGAGGGGUAUGAAAUUGAGUUAUGAGGGGUUUUGGGUGACCCCUAAUUUUAGACCACUUUUUUUAACCUGCUAUAACAGGUCAACACAUUUUUUUUUAAAGAAUUUUAAUAUAUGACAAAUUUUUAAUGAUAUUUUUUCUUAAAAAAAAUAAUGUGUUGACCUGCUAUACCCGAUCAAAGUAGGUGGUGUAAAAUUACACCACCUAAAAAUGGUGCAUAUUAGGUUCUCCCGGGGUUUUGUAUCUCUCCAUUCAUCUCCUCCACCUCCUAAAAAUUGAACUAAAUAACUUUUUUAAAUAAAAUAUCCGCUUCCUUCCAUUACACUCCAACAAAAUAUUGUGCAAUUGUAUUGCUUCAGUACUCUUAUAAAAAAAGAGAGUUUAGUCGAACCGGAUUGGUUUGGAUAUAGAGUGAUAAAAUGUUCGAACCAAUCAAACAGGUUCGGUUUGGGUUGGUUCGGAUUUCAUGAUUUUUUACUUCUAAAUCCGAACCAAACCAACCCGAUAUCAAUCGGAUUGGUUCGGUUUGGAUGGUCGGAUUUGAAAUAAAAAAAUAUUAUAUGGUAAUAUGCACGAAAAUUAUUCUAAAAACGUGAAAAAUUAUUAAUAAUAUAGAAAAAUCCAACAUUUUUAAAGAACGGAACAUUCGAUAAUGAAAUAAUCCAUAUAAUUUAAAUAAAACUAACAUCCCUAAUACAAAUAUAAAUAUGCAAUGUAAUGGGUUGAAAUUGUUUGAGCUUAAUGUAAAAAAAUUCUCAAUUCAUUGGGUUGGUUCGGAUUGAUCGGUUUUUCAAUCCCUAAAUCUGAUACCCGAACCGAUAGUGAUCAGAUUCAGUAAAAAAAAUCCGAACCGAACCAAUGAUUCAAUCCAACCCACCAUAAUGUGUUCGUUUCAGAUUGGUUUAAUUGAAUUCGCGGAUCGGACUAUACCCGCUUACACUUCUACGCUUGCGUCUAUUGUGAAUUUGGGUUUAAAACACAUCAUGUGCUUUACUUGAAAAUUUGGCUUACGAAAAUUAUGGGCUCAUGGUACCGAUCCCUUGCAGUAAGACUAUGUACAAUGGUUGAAUGAAUCCAUUCAACACUCUACUUUUUCACUUUUUACACUCAACAUCGUCUUCUCUCUCUUCCACCUAAUAAUUCAACACACAUUCAACUUUUACUCAAUACAAUGGUUUUGUUUAAUAAAAUUCAACACCCUACCCCACCACUUUUAUUUCAUAUUCUUUACUUUCGUUUAUGUUUUUGUGAUUAUAUAUUAAUAAAAAUUAUCAAUUUAAAUUAAGUUAAAAUAAUUUAGAGUUAAUUUUUUUUUCUUUCUAGUUUAGUAAUUUUAUAUUCUUAAUUAAUUUUUUAUUGCAAGUAAAAAAAGACUACAUAUAGGGAUAGUCAUUAUUAAAACAAGUAAAAUUAAAAAAAAAACUUAAAAUGCAAUAUAAUACACUAAUUAAAACAAGUGAAAUUACAAAAAAAACUUCAAAUGCAAUACAAUACACUAAGCAAACAAAUUUAUUUAAAAGGAUUAUUGUUGGGAUCCAUUUCACUAAAAAUAUGUUUAGAGCUACAAACAAUAGUUUAUUGGAGGCUAAAUACAAAAACUAGAAGGGAAAAUGUCGUUUUUUUUUCUAUGUCCAAAUCAAAUGAACAAAGUCUCUAUUUAUAGACAAAAAAAAUGAUGAAUUUUGGUGAAAAAAAAAUUAAAUAAAAAAUUACUUUACUACGAAAUAAUUGACCCCAAAUAAUUAUGAUGAGAUAAGAAUCUGAAAAUUACAACAACCAAUGAGAUUUUGCCAUGUGUACUUAACGGGACCAAAUCACUAUUCAUUUAACAUUGAAUAACCCUUUCAACAUCCCCAUUGGAGCCAUUCAACAAUUGAAUGAGUUUUUCAACACCCAUUCAACUACCCCAUUGCAUGUAGUCUAAUGCAUCGUAGUCUCCGCCAUAAUUAAUGGAAAACAAAAACUAACAAUUAAAUUAUUAUUUACAUAUUUUAUAUGUGUAUUAUGAACUUGGUCACGAAAUUAACCAUUCAUUUCUAUUCAAAAUUUAUCCUUACCUUUUUUUUUUUAUCUUUUAUAGUAUAUCAAUUGGUUUAUGAAAAGUUUGAGAGUUGAUGCACACUUCAUUUCAUUUGGUCAUUUGUAUACAAAAUACAAAUGACUUCAAACUCAAUACAUGUUUUUAAAUCUUUUUGCAAUGCCACAAAAUCAAUUAUGGAGUACAAUUUAGGUGUCAUAAUUCAUUCUGAAGAAAAAUAAGCUGAUUUAAACAUACUCUCUAAUUUUUUUUAGGGAAAUGGAAGGAAGAAAGAGAUUUGUAAUCACAUCCAAGUCCCAAAAUUUGUUUCUGCCGAAUAGGAACAUGCAUUUUUGAUAAUUGUCUUAAGAAUUAUAACAUAACAGCAUUGCUCAAUAGAUAAUGGAUAGCGAAAACACAAACCACAAACAUUACUGACCAGUUGUAUGUACAGGGCUUAAAAGUUUGAGACAAAAGGUUUGUACUUCUUCAGGUCAAGAACUACACUAGCCACUGAGCCAACAACAGACACUGCUGACACUACAAGGCAAACUACACUUAUAAUUUGCAGAAAAAUCCAUCUCCUACUCCAUUUUGGCAUCUUCUUCUGUUUGAUAUACAUCUCCACUGGGUAAUAAACUGUUAAAGGCCAAAAAUUCAGAGCUCCAAGGAUCCCCAUAACGUCAUUGAAGAAUGGAAUCAACAUUGCUAUAAAAGUGGUUGAGAUAACAAACAUUGUUCUCCAAACCAAUCUAAACAAGUUUAGAUUAUAAGGAGCACAACCAGGAAUUGGAAUCUUGUAUUCCUUGUUAACUAAUGGCCACCUUUUUACUACCUCUUUCUCAACAAAUGCAAAGAGGGGUUGGGAAUACACUUGGUAUGCUCCAAACAUGUGAACUACAAUUGCUGCAUUAGCAAUGUCUAUAAGCCAAUAUGAUUUGGAGUAGCCAAAUCCAGUUAGCAGAUUACCAGGUGCUGUGUCUCCAAAAGCAGCAUAGCCAAAGCACCCACAAAGCAUGUAAAAUGCUGUGAUAACUCCAAUGCUUAUAUGGGUGGCCUUCUUCAUUGUUUUCACUUCAGAUGGUGGGGUUUUAAUGGUGUCCUGUGUGGUCAAAGUUUGUUAUAUGUUAAUUAGUUUCUAUGAUAAAACUGCCUUUUGCUUUUCUUACUUUUGAAAAAAAGACAAAUAAGAGGUAUCAAUAACCUGAAUUUCCAUGAGAAUUUGAGAGAAUGUAUAGGCGAAGGAUAUGUCACCAAGAGCUUGGAACACUCCCCAUGCUUUUUCAGCUUUUGUCACCAUUCCAAUACUAACUCCUGUGAGACUACCCUUGAUGGUACCCGUUUCUGUUCAACAGUUAAAGAUCCAAUUAAACAAAAGAAUGUUAGUAUAAAUAAAUAGUUUUAAUUAAGAAAUAAGUUUUUAUUAUUAUAAAAAGAAGGCAUUUGACCUGCAACUUUAGCAAUUCCCAGAUAGAGACCAAUUAAGGAAUAUGUGAAAGACAUGAUUGCUGCAACAAUUGAGAGCCACCAUGUUUGAUGAAAAUCUGGAAUUUGAGAAAAGAAAACUUGGCUUACUCCAAAACUGAUCAUGUAUGGGUUGCUUGAAAUUGGACAUGGGUUUUUUCCGCCUGAGGAAUGGAGGCAGUCUGUCCUUGUUAUUGCUCUGUCAUCCAAAAACCGGUUAAAUUAAUGUAUUAACACUUUUCAGUUUCUAAAUUUUUAUAUUUCAAAAAUAUCAGAAGGAAGCAUUAACUCACAUCAUGCUAAUGGCAGCCGUAAUUGUGUAUCCUAUUGCAGCGCCGUAAAGACUCGAGUACUGGACUAUCCCACAAAUCUGAGCGUAGCGAGUACCUGCAAAAUACAUUAACUCUAAUGAAUCAAUCUGAACUAUUUAAUAAAAGAAUCGAGGGCUAAGAAUCUGCGGCAGAUAGCUGAAGAGAGUACGACUGUAGAGAAUCCUACUAAUGUGUGUGUGUGUGUGUGUGAAUAUAAUUACCAAGAAUGUUCUGAACUGCAUCCAUGAAAGAAUAGUUUCUUUUUCCGAAAAUGGGGUCUCCAUAACGAUAACAGUCAGCUAGAAGUAAUGAAGUGUACCAAGUGAUGAUGCUGAAGGAGAUCAUCACUACAGAACCAGCAACCCAGCCCAUUUGAGCUAUGGCCCAGGCUAAAGACAGCACCCCAGAUCCUACAACGGCGGUUACUAUGUGGGAGCUUGUAGUCCAAAGAGUUCCUACCACAAAUUAACACACCACUAUGAACAUCUUCAUGGAAAUGAUUCUUUCAUUUUACUACAUCUUUGGAAAAUAACAUUAAAAUGGCAUAAACUAGAAACUUAUCCCAGUAGAUUUUGGUACAUGAAAUCAAACAUGCACUUAGUGUGUGUUUGGGAGUGUAGCGGGCAACCUAAUAAUUGAUUUUGAAGCACAAAACAUGGUAGAGAAUUGGUUUUCACAUGUUUAGAUACUUUCUAUCAUAGUAAAUUAUAGGCUAAAAUCAACUAUAGAGAACACGAAUUCUUAAACAUUAAUCUAAAGACACACUAACACACAAGUUUGUAACAACUUCUAGUUCCUUAUAAUCAAGUCUGAUACUAAACUAAUCAGAAAAGCUUCUCCCCAAAUUUAUUUUAAAUUUAGAACCAACUGUAAAAUAUCCAAACAUGGAAUUACAUGAUAGACCCGUGUGGAGUUUUAAAAUGAGAAAGAUAUAUUCUCGUAAGAGGCAAAUUAAUUAAUGUAAAAGUACCUAUAUAACAUAUAUUAAUUUGAACCUGUUCGUUUAAGAUGGCCAUCAUCGUCGUGGGAUUCGGAGUUCGGCUGUGAAGAUAAACCAUCUAUGGAGUCCUUCACCAUGUCAAAACCUUGAGGAUGGCUCAGCAGGUUGGUUCUGAAAGAGUUUUCAAUCAUCAAUUGUGAACCAAAGACACCAAAAUGAAGUAUAAUCGAGAGAAUAUUGAUAAUGAUGUGUAGAAGUUUGAAUAUAACUUGUAAUUUCAAAACUUAAGUGUUACAAGAAUGUUGUUAUUUAUAUGUACAACAAUAAUCAAUUUAAAAAAAAAUAACAAAUCUAUCAACAAAAUAAAAUACAUUCAAAUUUAAAAUUCAAACUACUACGAGAAAUAUGAUAGAUUUUGUAGGUAGUAUAAGAAGAGAAAGAAUGAAAAAGAGAGAAAAUUACUAAAAAGAAACACUCAGUCUCUCCCUCUUUUCUCCUCAAUUUGGGCUUGAACGACCCCAAACUCAUGACAAAUGAAGAAUAAUUGUAUUCACUUCAAUUCCACAGACCCAAAACAGAGUAACAGCAACUAGUUUCCAUAAUUUAACACCCCAAUUCAACUUUUUUUCAGCUUUUCUUGUAAAAGUUUCUGCAUAUUCUUAUAAUGUUGGUUGCUCAUUCAUGUCUAUUUUAUAUAAAUAUCCAGAACCAGCUGAAUCAGAGACACACACAGUCACACAGAGUAGAAAUCAGUACAUGAAUUUCACAAAUAGAAGAGAAUUAGUUGCAUGCAACGGUACCUGAAAUCCAAAACCAAGUUGCUCUGUUCUGUUCUGUUCUGUUUGCUCCUUGACCAGAACCGAAUGAAUGCAUGCAGAUGCAGUUCACUAGUUCUUAUACCUACCUGCUACCUGCUGAAACAACCAGUGCCGCUUUAUCAGUGAAUUAGACGCAAGAUUUGUAACUGGGAGUGUACAAUAGAAUAGAAUACAAACCAAUUAAAUUUUGAUUUGGUUUUUUAAAUUGGCUAUUUCUCUGGUACAGGAAAAUUUUUAUAGGUAUUGUAUAUGAAUGACAUGUACCAAUCGCGUAUUUACACAUGUAAAUAUUCUUUUGUUUAUUAAUUAAGGUUGUGAACUUAUUGUUAUUUUAAAUCAACCCUAUGAAAUUAUUAAAAUUUCCAUUUUAGUCCCCUUGUGAGGUGAAAAUGUCUGACGCUUCGAUUGAGAAUCAUUGGAAAUCAAAUUAGGGUUCUAGAUACCGGGGAAAAUUCUGAAGUUGUUAUUGAUUUCAUCUUCUUCAAGAAAAUUCCUAAAUCCAUGCUAUGUGAAAUGGCCUAAGCGAAAGUGGUGACGUGAACAAGGAGAACAAAGUGUCGCGAGUCCACGAGGAAGGCCAGGGUAUAGGUCGGGAAAGAACAGUGCGAACGAAUGGGAUUGAAACGUGAAACACUGAUAAAAUUGAUAGAAACGUCAAAGAUUUCAUCUUUCUGGGCGGAGUGACUAUUUCUUCUGGGAGAUUUGUUCACUACCACAUUUGGUGGAGGCUACAACGUCUUAUAAAUUGAUAAUAAGUCCCACCUUAUUCAAACCCAGCCAUGGACAAUAAGUCAAUAACGAUCCCAGAAAAUGGUGGCAAGGAUUUUGUUCAUAUGAAUUCUGGUAUACGAAUUAUGCUAUGUCUUUUAUUCUCACUAAUAUUCAUAUUGUUGUUGCCCUGCAAUUUGUUACUACUUAUUACUGCUUCUCCAAAUUUUGAUUUCUAUUUGUGUUGUCUCCAAAUUCUCACUACUCAUUUGUGAGGUUGGAAGUUUUUUUUCUCUCCAUAGAGAUAUCCAGAAACAAAACGGAGGGAUUAUUUGUGUUCUGUUUUGGGUGAAAGAUUUUGGAUUUGAAUCGUUUUUAGUUGAAGGGGUUUUUGGAUUUUGAGUUUAUGGGUUCUCUUUUGGGGUGAGAUUGAGAAAGAAGUAGAAGAUUGAGAAAAUGGAAAUGAGGUGAGAUUGAGUGUUGUUCUAUCCUAAGAACAUUGAAUGGGGGUAGAGUACCCAAAGUGUGAGGAGAGUGAUACGAAUGUGUUAUGGAGAGAAGUUCUAACCGCUAGAGAGAGAGAGAGAAUAACUGAAUUUCAAUCUGAAUAUUUUUUCAAAUGAGUCAAGAGUCUCUUACAAUUGGUAACCGUCCCCUAUUUAUAGGUGUGGAGUUGGCCUCGGGGAGAGAGGCCCAAGUCCCUGGCUGUAACACCCCGAUUUCGGUAGCGUCACUUUAGUAACCAAAAAGCAAGUAAAGCGGAAAAACGUGAAUAUUUUUUUUCGAUUUAUUUAAAUAAUAAACUUAACGACUUGUCGAAAUAAAGACUCUUUAGCGAAAGAUAAAACAUAACUAAUGUACAAAAUAUUUACAGCUCCCGCUGUAAGUAGAGAACCACGUCACGAGUAACCUCCAGUGACGGGAAGUAACCGAAAGUAGUGCCCGUGGGCAAUAUGUACAAACCAAGUGAAAGGUCAAGUGUUCGCAAUACAGUCCUCCAAAAUGAAAGUAAGUCAGUCCAAAACUGCCUGAAUAAGACCUCCUAGUCCAACCAACUCUCUGUGAUUUUCAUAAAGAAAACCACACAAAAACUAACGGUCGGGAACCUACCCUGCCCCAAAAUACGAACAUGAAGACCAGAGCUAUAACUCUACUCCUACCCUAAUCCUGUCCAGAGGAGUACACCCCAGCACUCACAACUACAUACUGGCGUGGUCAUCGUCCGAAUCAGAAUCCAGGACGACUAGGUCAAUGUCUGCAACCAUCCCUCCUCUCGCUGCUGCAACAAGCUCCUGUGCUGGUCUCACGGUUCCAGAACCCGAACCAAGGUCAGCAGCAACGGCAACAGUAGGUGAGCUGGAGUCCGAUGGAGUCCCUCCCACAGGCUCCUCCUCCGAGGGGUCCUCAUCGUCAGAAGACGACGGUGGUGGUGGUACUCCUACACCGGGUCCGCAGUGCACGCCGGGUGGCAGGUUGAAGCUGACAGUAUAACACCUCAGAACUCCCUCCAUCAAGUGUCCCAGACUGUCGACACGAUCUUCCAUUAUUCUCCCCGAGUAAGUCGCUCUGUGGCCAGCGGGGUCGACCACCCAUGAGCCGGGGAUUUCCUGAUCAAGCAUCUCAAACCUAGUCCCCCCCGAAGGGUGGACCAUCGUGAACCAAUCCGCCAUGGACAUCUGACAAAGGGUGUAGUCCGCCAAAACACAAGCAGAAGGCGCGAGGGUCUACUCCAAAGAAUUACAUAAGUAAUACACCCAGUAGAUAAAGUUUAAGGGAUAGCUACUUAGGCCUAGAAGUAUGUGAUAGCAUUAUAAAUUGUAUAUCUUCCAAUGAAUAUGAAUGACAAUUAAUGACAAUUAACAUGUGUCAAAUAAGAUUAACAAGUAUCAAUCACACUCGGCAACUAAGUCAGUAUGCAUGGUGCAUGAAUGAGAUGACGAGGAACAAGAUGCAAUCCGGAAGGAUGGACACCAACGAGUCAGUCCUAUCACCGGCCAAAGUGGGACCAUUUCUGCUCGGGAAUCUCUUACACCAAACAAAAUGUAGUCAGAUUAGCAGUAUACCCAUAGGCCUGCCAUUUCUGUCUGCUACUAAGAAUCACCGUAGUGUUCUUAUAUGGAAAUCCGGGUCUUAGGACCAUUUUGGAAUCCAUCGAGGUCCGACUUCCCGUCGUGUAUUAACCCCAGAAAUGUGUGAAUGAAUGUAGCGUGAUUAGCCAAACAACGUCUCCGACCUCACUCGUCACGUCGUCACGUGUUCUAACUAACUUAUUGUCUCUAAAAAGAAUACCCUAAGGUAAAUGUCGAUUCUGCGACAAAAGACAAUUAAAUAUAAAAAUUGUAUUAUCUCAUGAUGACUUCUCGAGUCAUCUGACUCAUCUAAUUCCGAUGGUCAAAAACUGCUCAACGAGCAAAGAGUAACAAUGUACUUGGAAACUUAUAGUUCCCUGACUUAUCCUUUAGAUAGUCGAAUAAAUAAACUGCUCAUCGAGCAAAGAGUAUAAAAUACUCAGAAACUUAUUAGUUUCCCGGCUUAUCUUUUAGAUAGCCAAACAACAAAAUUGCUCAUCGAGCAAAAGAGUAUUAAAAUACUCAGAAACUUAUUAGUUUCUCUAAAUCUUGGAUUCGGCGACACUUCUCAUUUUCCAAAGCUAGUAUUCAAACCCUAAGCUUUCAUCUGAGAUUGUUAUCGUUAUUUAAAGGGUUCAGAGGUUGUUUAAUGUCUUAUGAAUUUUCCUUGUGAAAUGGUUUCCAUUUAGUUUUAUCUCUAAUCUUAUGAGUUUGAAAGAUCCCAUAAUCUCAACUAACUCCCAGAGAAGUUCUUGAUCCACUAAAAUAUUGUUAAGGGCCCGAACCUCGGUCCGUCCCGUCAAACUUUCCCAAAAUCUCAUGAUAAGUUCUGGCAUAACUGCCCGUUUAUCCUCUCUGACGUGCAACAGAUAUAUGUGUAAUUUCAAAAUCAAAGUAACACAAUCCAACAGUCAUGGCACAUAUAUCAACACAUCCUAGAUUAACCAUUUAGCACAUAGCAUGUAAAUCAAUAUCAAAAACAAAUCAAGCGAUAAAUGAUUAUCAUUGUCAGCCGAAGCCUCAGAAAACAUUUCCCAGUCAAUCACAAUCAAGUGCAUAAACAGUAAAUCAAGUCGAAUUCGUCGACACCUAAAGCAUUAUCUAGUAUUCAGUGAGUAGCCCUCACCUGUAGCUCCUCUAGUGUGAUCNNNNNNNNNNNNNNNNNNNNNNNNNNNNNNNNNNNNNNNNNNNNNNNNNNNNNNNNNNNNNNNNNNNNNNNNNNNNNNNNNNNNNNNNNNNNNNNNNNNNNNNNNNNNNNNNNNNNNNNNNNNNNNNNNNNNNNNNNNNNNNNNNNNNNNNNNNNNNNNNNNNNNNNNNNNNNNNNNNNNNNNNNNNNNNNNNNNNNNNNNNNNNNNNNNNNNNNNNNNNNNNNNNNNNNNNNNNNNNNNNNNNNNNNNNNNNNNNNNNNNNNNNNNNNNNNNNNNNNNNNNNNNNNNNNNNNNNNNNNNNNNNNNNNNNNNNNNNNNNNNNNNNNNNNNNNNNNNNNNNNNNNNNNNNNNNNNNNNNNNNNNNNNNNNNNNNNNNNNNNNNNNNNNNNNNNNNNNNNNNNNNNNNNNNNNNNNNNNNNNNNNNNNNNNNNNNNNNNNNNNNNNNNNNNNNNNNNNNNNNNNNNNNNNNNNNNNNNNNNNNNNNNNNNNNNNNNNNNNNNNNNNNNNNNNNNNNNNNNNNNNNNNNNNNNNNNNNNNNNNNNNNNNNNNNNNNNNNNNNNNNNNNNNNNNNNNNNNNNNNNNNNNNNNNNNNNNNNNNNNNNNNNNNNNNNNNNNNNNNNNNNNNNNNNNNNNNNNNNNNNNNNNNNNNNNNNNNNNNNNNNNNNNNNNNNNNNNNNNNNNNNNNNNNNNNNNNNNNNNNNNNNNNNNNNNNNNNNNNNNNNNNNNNNNNNNNNNNNNNNNNNNNNNNNNNNNNNNNNNNNNNNNNNNNNNNNNNNNNNNNNNNNNNNNNNNNNNNNNNNNNNNNNNNNNNNNNNNNNNNNNNNNNNNNNNNNNNNNNNNNNNNNNNNNNNNNNNNNNNNNNNNNNNNNNNNNNNNNNNNNNNNNNNNNNNNNNNNNNNNNNNNNNNNNNNNNNNNNNNNNNNNNNNNNNNNNNNNNNNNNNNNNNNNNNNNNNNNNNNNNNNNNNNNNNNNNNNNNNNNNNNNNNNNNNNNNNNNNNNNAUUGAGUAAACUAAAUAAAAGCAGGGUCAUUAAGCAAAUACUAAAUUAAUAAGUAUAAAUUAGAAAAUAGUGUUAUGUCAUUACUAAUUUAUUCAUGUCAUCUUAAGUGUAUUUAUUUUAGUGGUACACAUCACUAAUGUAUGAUACACUCACCUGAAUUUAUGGGCACCCAAGCAUGCACCUUUUAAAUUGUGGUAAUCUAACUAAAAUUCAGCUGAUUUUGGUUUGGGUUAUCUGGUUUGUAUAUAAAAUAAAUAAAUUAUUAUUUUUAAACUUCUUAACAAUUGUUGAAAAAUAGGAAAUCACUUUUAGCCUAAAUAAUUUUUUUUUGGUACAUCGGGAAAGUAAAAGACAAAAAGAAAAAAACUACAAAGCUAGCAGAUUCCUAGCCAAGACGGGAUCAAUCUGAGAGGGGGGGGUCCUCUAACCGAAGAAAAUCACACUGCUGAGACAGACCUAAACCGGCCAAGCAAUCGACCACUUCAUUAGCACUACGGGGAACAUGCUGGAGCUGAACACUCUACUGACGCUGAAGGAGCUGAUUAAUCUCCAGAAAAUAUGAUGCUAAGGCAUGGUAGUGAAAAGCAUCAUCCCGAAGCACCUCAACAAUCUCUAAAUAAUCAGCACUACGAAUUCCAGUGUCCCAUAAGAGAGAGACCCAUCCUCAAUGUCGUCACUUUUAGCCUAUAUUUGAUUCAUUGAAAAACAUAAAAUUCAAAGUUUUAUGGAAAAAAUGAUACUAAUGGUUCUAAAUGCUAAUAUCACUUUAAUCAAUAUUAAUUUUUGACUUAAUUGCACUUUGAGCCCUCACUACCGGCAUUUGUGCAAAGUAAGUCACUAAUUUUUUAGAAAGUUAAAAAUAUAUUAUAAAAAGCUUGAAAGCUCUCAAGCAGAGAAAACAACCCAAUCAGCAAUAACAGCACCAAAAAAACCGAUAGAUGCCAACAAAGGACCAAAGCAACAACACUCCCCAAAGAAGAAAACCUUCCACAUUCAUGUAAUAUAUUUUUUUUAGAAGCAAAAGAAUGCAUUAUAAGAGAGUAAAAGAGGUACUCCAACCCAUAAUACAAAGAAGCAAGAAUUAGAGAAUAAGCAAAGAGUGAAGAGUGAAGACAUACGAGAGGUAGAAGAAAAGUUACAGAAAAACAUCUUUGAGGAUCCUAGAGUCGGUGGCUGCACCCUCUCAUCCAGGCAAAACAUAUAUGGAGAACAUAGACCUAACACAUUGGUAGCUAUAUCACCCUUCCUUAUUCUCUAUUGCCUUGUUCAACUUUAGAUACAUUGUCGUUGAUGUAGGUGUCAUCAAUCUCCUAAACAAUUUUCCAUCAAAAAACGCUCCUAAACAACUCUAUUCAUUGAAACUACAGUUGUUACUCUAUUGCAAAUUUGCAACUAAAGUUUAAGUAACACAUUAAUAUAUAAAAAAAUGAUUAGCUUUUCUAAUAAACCAUAAAAGUAUUUCCACCUUUAAAGAACCUUAAAGUAUGUGGGUUGAGUAUGGGAGGUCCAUGUUGGGGGACACAGGGGAGCUCAUGGGUCGAGGAGUAAGACACCAAAAAAUAUCGACACCACAUCUUAACCUAAAAUCUUAAUGCAUUAGAUUUAUGGGUCACAUCUCUUAUAAAGUCUUCUCCUUACUCAUCUUAACCAAUGUGGGACUACAACUCACACUUGAAUUCUCAACAAUCUCCUCCUCAAGUGCGAGUCACCACCACAUUAUCAUGGCCUACCUCCGUCGAAACGUAUCCACCCUUGUACCGCCGUUCGCACCAUGGUCCAAUCAUGUGCAACGGGACACUCCACACUGACCACAUCAUUAGGAGAUUUUCGAUACAAGGAGUCGUUAUCAUGGUCUCACGAACCAUUAACUCUAAUUCCACUUUUUAGGGGAGAUAGGGAAGUUCAUGUGCCGAUGAGCAAGACACCAAGAGAUAUCGGCACCACAUCUUAACCCAAAACCUUAAGGCAUUAUAUUUAUGGGUCACAUCUCUUAUAAGUCUUCUUCUCACCCAUACUUAAUCAAUGUGAGACUCCAACUCAUUCUUAACUAGGGAUCAAUCCUUAGAUGGUGCAAAUUAUAUUUUCAAUUAAAAAAAAAGUAUUUUCACCUUUCAUGAGUGUUGUUUUUCAUUAUGGACUUAGAUUGUUUUAGCAUUACUUCAUGGCACCUCAAAAUAGCCAAUAACACUUUUCAAAUAUGUCCACUAAUCGUUUCGGACCUAUCAUAUUCUCUUUUCAAUCAUUCUAUUUUUUAACUAUUAACUUUUUAAUCAAACUUUAUCACUAUUUUUUAAAUCUUUUUCAGUAUAUCAAUUAGAUUAUGAAAAUAUCCAUACACACUACAUAUACAAGUGACUUCAAAUUCAACGUAUGUGUUUAGAAACUCUCUAAAGUCAAUUUUAGAGAAGCUUCUUUAAAUAUAAUUUAGGAAAUAUAAUUGAUAAGUACUCCAAUUUGUACAAAAAAAAACAUACUGCAAUUAAAACAAAAUUAGGGAAAUGGUAGGAAGAAAGAUUUGAAAUGGCAUGCAAGUCCCAAAAUUUGUUCCUACCGGAUAGGAGAACAUGUAUUUUUGAGAAUUGUCUUAAGGGUAACAUUAUAACAACGUUGUUCAAUGGAUAGUACCACAAACAUCACUGCCCAGUUGUAUGUAUGGGGCUUAAAAGUUUGUGACAAAAGGUUUGUAUUUUUUUAGGUCAACCACUAUACUAGCCACUGAGCCAACGACAGAAACAGCUGAUACUACAAGACAGACAACACUUAUAAUUUGCAGACCAAUCCAUCUCCUACUCCAUUUUGGGAUCUUCUUUUGUGUGAUAUACAUCUCCACUGGGAAAUAAACUGUUAAAGGCCAAAAUCCCAAUGCUCCAAGCAACCCCAAAACGUCAUUGAAGAAUGGAAUCAACAUUGCUAUAAAAGUGGUUGAGAUAACAAAUAAGGUUCUCCAAAUCAAUCUAAAUAAAUUCAGAUUGUAGGGAGCAAAACCACCAGGUAAUGGAAUUUUGUAUUGCUUGUUAACUUUGGGAAACCUUUUCACUGUCCCUUUCUCAACAAAUGCAAAGAGGGGUUGGGCAUACACUUGGUAUGCUCCCACAAGGUGAAUUGCAAUGGCUGCAUUAGCAAUGUCUAUAAGCCAAUAUGCUUUAGAGUAGCCAAAUCCAGUGAGCAGAUUCCCAGGUGCUGCGUCUCCAAAACCAGCAUAGCCAGAGCACCCACAAAGCAUGUAAAAUGUUGUGAUAACUCCAAUACUUAUCUUUGUAGCCUUCUUCAUUGUUUUAGCUUCACAUGGUGGGUUUUUAAUGGUGUCCUGUAGUCAGAAUUUAUUGUUUGUUAAUUCGUUUCUAUGAUAAAACUCUCUUUUCAUUUGUUUCAAAAGUGAAUGCUCAAUUUUGUCAUUAAAAGUGUAAGCAUAGAACAAAUUAGUCUCUAAAAGAAGGAAAUACUCUUGUGAUCCUCAAUUGUAUUAAAUGUCGAUCAAAUUAUUUAUUGUUGACCAACAUUUGACACAAUCCCACAAGAAUAUUUCUUUCUUCUAGAGAUUAACUUCUCAUACAUUUACACAUUUUUCUCAAUUUUUACAAAAGAAUUAAAGGAGCCAAUUACCUGAAUUUCAAUGAGAAUUUGAGAGAAUGAAUAGGCGAAGGCUAUGUCACCAAGAGCUUGGAAAGUUCCCCAUACUUUUUCAGCUUUUGUCACCGUACCAAUACUAACUCCCGUGAGACUACCCUUGAUGGUACCAUUCUCUGUUUUCAAGAUUAAGACAAGAAUAUCAGCAAUGAAAAAUAAUGAAGAAGUUUUUAUUAUCAUACACAAAUUAAAGUAGGCAUGUCACCUGCAAUUUUAGUAAUUCCCAGAUAGAGACUAAUUAAGGAAUAAGUGAAAGACAUGAUUGCUGCAAGUAUUGAGAGCCACCAUGUUUGAUGAAAAUCUGGAAUUUGAGAAAAGAAAAUUUGGAUUACUCCAAAACUGAUCAUAUAUGGGUUGCUUGAAAUGGGACAUGGGUCUUUUCCGCCUGAGGAAUGUUGACAGUCAGUCCUUUUUAUCGUCCUGUCAUCGAAAACUGGUUAGAUUAAAACAGACCCAUCAACUUUACUCAAACUAAAUUAGAUAAUCUUAUUAUUAGACCUGUGGAAAAUGCUGAAAAUUUCGUAAUUUCAAAAUAAAAUUAUUCAAUUAAAACUGUAAAUCUUUUUAAAAAUAUAUUAUUUUUUGGUAGAAAAUGCUAAAAGGAAAACAAAAAGAAAACACCACAGCAGACCAUGUGAAGAAUGUCGGUUAGAGUGAAUCACCACAUGUAGAAGAACUCUGAAGCGAAGAGAGCACUAACGUCAAAUUAGAGUGAACCACCACAUCACAUAAACCAACCUCCCAGCAAAGACGCAACUCAUGAUACAUGCACUUAAAAAUAUAUUAUAAUAAUAUUAUAUUUUUAUCAAAUAAUUUUUUAAUUUUUUUUUUAGUGAAUGUCCGCAUAAUGCAAGCGCCAAGAAAGAAAUUUUGUGACGUGACAUAGAAUGGGGAACAUUUUAAUAAAUACAGAAAUCUAUAUCUAGAUUCUAUAUGUUUUAUGAAAUAAACUAGAUAUAAAGUGUUUGUGUUGCAUAGAUUAUUUAUAAUAUUUUAUAAAAAUAAUUACAUAUUUUCAUUUUUUUUUUACAUUUAUAAAGAAAUUUUAACCAUUAAAAUUAUGAUAUUUAUAUCUGUAAUAAUAUAAACAUCAUUAGGUAAAUUAAAUAUUUUUACUAUGAUAAGUAAUUUAUUUAUGUUUUUAAUUCAAUUUUUACUAAUAUAUACGUAGUUCAUUACUUAUAUUUAAAGUAACUUGUUUUAAAAUAAUACACAUAUAUAUCAGAUUAAUAGUAGAUAACAUAAUAAAUUCUAUUUUAGUUUCAUUUUAUUAUUUUAAAAUUUUUCAUUUGAUAAUUAAUAUUUAAAAUAAUUUUAAUGUUAAUAUUUUAAUCAUACGUAUGAAGAGUUUUUUAUUAAUUGUUUGACACAACAAAUCAUAUAAAUGGAAUUAUUAAAUAUUUAAUAUCAUUAUUGAUGAAUAGGUCAGUUUUAGUUUUUGCCUUAAAAUGCAAUUAAUAUUACUAUUGACUAUUGAGUGCAAUAUAUAUAAUUUGAGAAGCAAUAAUUACAUAAUUAAAGAAAUGUUAUUAUAAUUAUUUAACAUUUUUCUCAAUAAUAUUUUUUAUGAUUAAAAAAAUUGGGGAAAAACCAAAAGCAGACUAAGGGCACCCGAAAAGUCACAUAAUAAAGCUCAGAUAACAUAUCAAUUUUUUUGUGUUGUGCUUGAAAAAAAAAAAAAUCAAUCAAAAGCAGUAAGGAAGCAUUAACUCACAUCAUGCUAAGGGCACCCGCAAUUGUGUAUCCUAUUGCAGUGCCGUAAAGAUUCGAGUACUGGACUAUCCCACAAAUCUUAGCAUUGGUAGUACCUGCAAAAUACAUUAACAUUAUGAUCAAUAUAAUGUUUUUUUUUUGUGAACUCAUGAUCAAUAUAAUGUUAUAUCAUUCUAAUUCAUCUUUUUAGUUAAUGUGAGACCUUAACACACAUAUUUCAAGCCCAAAUUGAAUAUUACAUGUGUGACUUUCCAGCACAAAACAUUUGUGGGUGACCAAUAUACGGUUGAACUCCAAUAAACAGAUCUAAUCAUCUAAUAGACUCGGAUACAUAAUUAGAAUUCAGAUUAUGUCUAACUCAUAUACUAAUGUGUUAUGUAUAGUUACCAAGAAUAUUCUGAACUGCUUCCAUGAAAGAAUAGCUUCUCUUUCUCAUAUUUUGGUCUCCAUAACGAUAACAAUCAGCUAGAAGUGCUGAAGUAUACCAAGUGAUGACACUGAAGAAGAGCAUUGCAACAGUACCAGCAACCCAACCCAUCUGAGCUAUGGCCCAUGCUAAGGACAGAACCCCAGAUCCUACAACCGCGGUUACAAUGUGCGAGCUUGUAGUCCAAACGGUUCCUACCACAAAUAAAUUACACAUCAACUAUGAAAAUCUCCAUGGAAAUUGGUAUACAAUUUUCUAUGUGACAGAACAUAAUCAUCUGUGGAAUUAAGAAUUGGGACAAAUUUCUUAUGUGACAGAACAGAAUCAUGGGGGGUUUUAAUAUGAUAAAGAUCUAUAGUGCUAAGAAACAAAAAUUAAAUUGAAUUGGAUUUGUACCUGUUCGCUUAAUACGGCCAUCAUCAUCAUAAAAUUUGGAUUCGGGCUGUGAAGUGCCACCAUCUAUGGAGUGCUCCACCAUGUCUAAAUUUCGAGGAUGGCUCAGGUUUGUUCUGGAUAAGUUUCCAACCAUCAAUUGGGGAAAUGAGUCAGAAAAUGAAAUAUAAUCGAGAGAAUAUUGAUUAUUUUCUUGAGUUUUGUUCGUCCCUAAAUUGAGUUGCAUUCCCCGAUCAAAGAACAAUUUAUUUAUAUAUCAAAAGCUUUUUGAAAAAUAGAAGUAACAUUAUUUAUUAUAAUUAUUACUAUUAUUUUAUUUCCUAAUAGAAUUUCAUAUCAAUUUUGAUAAUAUUAUUAUUUAACGUUUAAAAAUAUUAAAAUUUAAUGGUGCAAUUAUUUGGAAGCUGGUCAUAUUCUUAUCCAAAAAAUAAGCUUUGUCAUACUCUUAAGACCCUUAAGAAAAUGAUGCUUAUUAAGAAAAUAUAUAAUAAGAUCAAUAAAUGUAUUAAUUAUUUAAAAAAAUUAUUCAAUCUUCCAUGUUUAUCCUUAAUGAAUGUAUUGAAUAGUGUGGAAGAGAAUUAAUCAUAAGUGUUAGUCAAACUUUAGAAUUAGAAAAACUAAAUAAAUACAAGGAGUAUAUAAAGAAGAAGAUAAUAAAUAUUCAUAAAAUAUUGUGGGUCUUAUAUUAAGGAACACUAAAAUGUCUUUAGGAGGUCAUAUAAAAAGGAACGAAUGAAAUAUAAUUAAUGUUUUAACAUAGAGUUUUAAUCCUAAAAUUAAUUAUUAUUUAUCUUUCUUCUGUCAAUUAUAUUAGCUCACUUCUUUGCUAAGUUUUCUACAUCCAAAAAAAAAACUGAUAAAUAUGAAUAAAAAAUCCCUUAAAAUUGUACUAUAAAAAGGGCAAAGAGGUAUUUUAAUGGUCUUAGUCCCAUUAGCUUGGUAAUAUUAAUGAGCUGAUGAAUUUUAUAUUUUUUAAAACCUUCUAUAAUCGGGUUUUGGAAUUCAAAUGACUAUCAAUAUUGGGUUCCUUGGCUUUGGUGGAGUGGCUUCUAUCCUCAAUACGGAGCUUGUGGCUAUUUGGCGUGGUCUACAAGUAGCUUGGGACCAAAGCUAUUCGAAGAUUAUCUAGGACGCUACUAAUUUCUUGAGAACCCCUCCCUCCUAUACGUUUGCGCCUCUGAUUUAGCAUAUCACAGUCCGCCUUAGUAGGCAAUGGGUGGUGUAGCCACUAGCUAAUUCAUACUCUUAGAGAAGCGAAUGCAUAUGUGCAUUUCUUGGCUAAAGUGUGAGCGCGCCAAUUGUUAGAUUUGAUUGUCCACCUCCCCAACUUGAGUCUCUCCUAUGAGCGGAUGAUGGGCCUAGUUGGCCUAUCUUUUUGUUUCUUUUUUUUUUGUUUUUCUCUUCCUUUUUUGUCUUCUAGCACAAAAAAAAAAGACUAUCACUAACAAACUGUCAAAAAGAUGUAAAAUUAACAAAUUGCCAUGUUUUUAGAUAUUUCCAUAUAAACAUGAAAUUAUUUUUAGGUAAAUUGUAUGUAGCCAAAGGAAUCAUUAAAAAAAAAACCCUAAAAGCAAGUUGGCAUUGAGCCCCAAACUCAAUGACAAGUGGAGAAUCAUUGUAUUCCUGAAAGCUGUAAUCCAAAUUGAGAGUGAUUUUAUGUAUUCCCUUCAAUCCCACAACAAUGGACCCAAAACUGAGUUACAGCAACUUGUUCCCAUAAUUCAACUUUUUUUCAUCUUUUCUUUUACAAAUUUGUGCAUAUAUUAUGUAAAAAUCCAAAAUCAGCUUAAUCAGAGAAUAAAUCUGAUACUAAUUAACACCACACACACACACAUACUAGAAAUCAAUGGUUCAGAAAAAAAAAAAAACUGAAUGAUUGAAUCCAUGAAUUUGACAAAGAGAUCAAAAUAGAAGAGAAUUAGUAGCAAGAAACGGUCGGUACCUGUGUGUGUGAAAUCCAAAACAACGUUGUGAGAGAGAGUUCAAUCCAGCGAGUUCACAACCGAAUGAAUGCAGUUUAGUCCUUCUUAUACGAGUGUUCGGUCUAAUUCGGCGUGCGAAAGCGAAAGAGCUAGUAUCUAUUUAUCAUUUGGAUGGACGGUGUAGAAUGAAGCAGCUCUGACUUAUAAGUCUAAAUGUUCGUGUUCUCAUUUUCCACAAUCUCUGGCCCCUACCACUGCCAAUGCGGUUAAGCGUUGACAAUCAAUCACUCUCAUCAAAUGAAAUUAAGGUUUUCAUUUACAUUUUCAAUAAAUAUUCAUUAUUAUUAAUAGCCUCACAUUAAUAUAUAUAAAACAAGAAAGGGUGGUAUUCUAGUAUAUCAUUAAUUAGUAGCGCGUAUGAAAAAGAAUUUGUUGAAAGAUGCCUACUUAUUUAGUGCAUUCUUUGGUUUAAAGCCAUGAGACUAAUUCUUUGAGGCUCUGAGAUUAUUUUCAGCUAUUGUUGUUUGUUGCUACUUGCUACGACGAAGUCUGAGUUCUAUGACUAUGACUCCAAUAACUUCCGGAAAUUAGUUCAUUUUUUAGUCCACAGGGAAAUUAGUUUCUAAGGAUAGAAAUAAAAGCAAUGGGAGAAUCAAGAAUGGCUUAUCCUAUUCAAGUUGCAACAUCAGAAUCAGUGAAGUAGACAUGGGACAAAAGUAUAACAUGGAACUUCAAUAAUUAUAUAGAAGCAGAAAUCUUAAGAUAUGCCUUUACUUUUUUCAAGAUAUGAUGGUAGUACUAUAUACAAUUUGGUACCGAAUAAUCCAAAUUAAAUAAAAAACGUAGAUUGAAAAUAACACGAUAUUCAACAGCAAUUAUUCUGAAGUGCCAUUUCUUAAAUGUAAGCAAGCUAAAAGAUAACAUUACAAUUAGGCCACAGCCAUAACCUUUCUUGCUACCUGCCAGUUUGGUUUCCUCGCAAAUGGAGAAGACACAUCUCAAAGACUUUGGCCACGUUGACUCAAACGUAGCAUUGAGCUCAACGGAAAUUCAAACAUUUAAAAGUCUGAGCUGAAUGCUUUGUAUUUCUGGAGGUCGAGCAGAACACCGACCACUGAGCCGAGACCAGCCACGACUGAUACUAAGAGGCAGAACACGCUCAUCAAUUCCAUAAGAAUCCAUUUCGUGCUCCAUCUUGGGAUCUUCUUUUGUAUGAUGUACAUCUCCAAUGGAAAGUAAACAGUUAAAGGCCAAAACCCGAGUGCUCCAAUCACUCCCAGAACGUCAUUGAAGAAUGGAAUCAGCAUUGCUAUGAGAGUGGUGAUGAUAACAAACACUGACCUCGAAACUAACAUAAAUAUGUUCUGGUUGUAGGAUGGAAGACCAGGUAUUUUAACUUUGAAUCCCUUGUCAAUUUUGGGCCAUUUUUUUGCUGCCUCUUUCUCAAUGAAGGCGAAGAGGGGUUGGGCAUACACUUGGUAUGCUCCCACAAGGUGAAUUACAAUAGCAGCGUUAGCAAUGUCAAUAAUCCAAUAAGCUUUGGUGACGCCAAAUCCAGUGAGUAAGUUCCCAGGUGCUGAGUCUCCAAAAGCAGCAUAGCCCAUGCAGCCACAAAGCAUAUAAAACGUUGUAGUCACUGCAAUACUUAACUUUGUAGCCUUCUUCAUUGUAUU
rnacentral:lncRNA from 1 species